UGAGUCGAGAGAAGAGGGAUUGAGAGAGCGUUUGAGGGAAGAGAGAUUUCGUGCGUGAGGUCACGAGAACUGAGUUUUGUUGAGAACUGAGUUUCGUUGUCCUUACCUUUUCUUUUUCUUUUUUUAUUUUUUAUUUUAUUACUAUUUAUUUGCUUUUUAUUUAGCAGAAUUUUAAACCCCAUUAAUUGAACGUUUAGAGUUCUCAAUGGCCAUUAACUAUGGUUUAUUGGUAUUAGUCUUAGUUAAAUGUUUUUUUGUAUUCCCCAUUCCUAACCUCUAAAACCCAACAGCCAGGCGGCUGGGUUUUUUGGGGAUAAUCCAAUAUUUUUUAUUAUUAUUAUUAUUUUGGUUUUUAUUUUCUUUAAUUUUUUUGUUCCAAUCUUUUCUGAUUUAUAAAGCCCAUUAGCAUUGUAAAUAACAACUAAUGAUAAAUAGCCUAGUGGAGAGAGGGUAGUUUCAUAGUCUCAAGUGGAGAGGGGGUUCAAUACUCAUAUGUAGCAUUUUUAGCAUUUUAUUUUCUUUUAGCAUUUUGUUUCUUUUAAUAUUUUUUAUGUCCAUGUUUUUUUAUUAAAUUCAUCAUGCAUGCAAAAAUCAUUUUAAAACUAUUAAAAAUCAUUUCUUUUCUCGAUUCAAUAUCGAGCCC
rnacentral:lncRNA from 1 species